rnacentral:rRNA from 1 species
GAUGAACGCUGGCGGCGUGCCUAAUACAUGCAAGUCGAGCGAACAGACGAGGAGCUUGCUCCUCUGACGUUAGCGGCGGACGGGUGAGUAACACGUGGAUAACCUACCUAUAAGACUGGGAUAACUUCGGGAAACCGGAGCUAAUACCGGAUAAUAUAUUGAACCGCAUGGUUCAAUAGUGGAAGACGGUUUUGCUGUCACUUAUAGAUGGAUCCGCGCCGCAUUAGCUAGUUGGUAAGGUAACGGCUUACCAAGGCAACGAUGCGUAGCCGACCUGAGAGGGUGAUCGGCCACACUGGAACUGAGACACGGUCCAGACUCCUACGGGAGGCAGCAGUAGGGAAUCUACCGCAAUGGGCGAAAGCCUGACGGAGCAACGCCGCGUGAGUGAUGAAGGUCUUCGGAUCGUAAAACUCUGUUAUUAAGGAAGAACAAAUGUGUAAGUAACUAUGCACGCCUUGACGGUACCUAAUCAGAAAGCCACGGCUAACUACGUG